rnacentral:lncRNA from 1 species
GCAGUAACAUAGAAGUGAUAUUGUGUCCUUCUUAGUGCAACAUAUCAGAAGGAACAUGUCCAUUUGUCCUAAUGCUGAUAGUGUUUACUUUCAUCACUUGGUACAUUUAUACCUCCUAAUUUCUCCACUGUAAAAUUACUGGGUUUUCUUUUCUAAUUAAUAAAUAUAUUGGAAACAGAUAAUUUGACACUACAUAAAUAUUCUGCCUUUCAUUAAACUUUUACUCUCUAAUUUUAACCCCAUUAAUGACUCUUACCAGAAUCAAUUGUUAUUGUAAUGGUUGCAAAUAUUUUUCUCUCUUCAGUUAUUAAAAAAGAAUUUUAUUUGGUAAACUACACAUACAUAAUAUCUCCCAUCUUAACCAUUUUUAAGUGUAGAGUUCAAUAGUAUUACAUUCAAUGUAUUAAAUGGUAGUACAUUCACACUGUUGUGCAACCAUCACCAUCAUCCAUCUCUAGGACUCUUUUCAUCUCACAAAACUGAAACUCUGCACCCAUUAAGCAAUAAUUCCCAUCCUUCCUUCCCUCGGCCUCUGGCAAUCACCAUUCUACUUUCCAUCUCUAAGAAUUUGACUACUCUAGAUGUCAUAUUAAGGGAAUAAUACACUAUUUGUCUUUUUGUGACUGGCUUAUUUCACUUUGCAUAAUGUCUUCAAGGUUCAUCCAUAUUGUAGCAUGUGUCAGAAUUUCCUCCCUUUUUAAGGCUGAAUAAUAUUUCAUUGCACAGGCUGGGUGUUGUGGCUGACACCUGUAAUCUCAGCAUUUUGGCAGGCCAAGGCAGGUGGAGCCUAGGAGUUCGAGACCAGCCUGGGCAACAUGGUGAAACCCCAUCUGUACAAAAAAUACAAAAAUACAAAAAUUACAAAAUACAAAAAUUAGCCAGGCAUGGUGGUGUGCACCUGUAGUCUCAGCUACUGGGGAGGCUGAAGUAGGGUGAUCGCUUGAGCCUAGAAGGUCAAGGCUGCAGUGAGCUGUGAUCAUGCCACUGCACUCCAGCCUGGGUAACAGAGCGAGAUCCUGUCUCAAAAGAAAAAAAAAAAAAAA